GAUGAACGCUGACAGAAUGCUUAACACAUGCAAGUCAACUUGAAUUUGGGUUUUUAACUUAGGUUUGGGUGGCGGACGGGUGAGUAACGCGUAAAGAACUUGCCUCACAGCUAGGGACAACAUUUGGGAACGAAUGCUAAUACCUAAUAUUAUGAUAAUAGGGCAUCCUAUAAUUAUGAAAGCUAUAAGCGCUGUGAGAGAGCUUUGCGUCCCAUUAGCUAGUUGGAGAGGUAACGGCUCACCAAGGCGAUGAUGGGUAGCCGGCCUGAGAGGGUGAUCGGCCACAAGGGGACUGAGACACGGCCCUUACUCCUACGGGAGGCAGCAGUGGGGAAUAUUGGACAAUGGACCGAGAGUCUGAUCCAGCAAUUCUGUGUGCACGAUGAAGUUUUUCGGAAUGUAAAGUGCUUUCAGUUGGGAAGAAACAAAUGACGGUACCAACAGAAGAAGUGACGGCUAAAUACGUG
rnacentral:rRNA from 1 species